CCAAUAGCGUAUAUUAAAGUUGUUGCAGUUAAAAAGCUCGUAGUUGAAUUUCGGGGUCAGUAGAUUGGUCAUGCCACUGGUAUGUACUGGUCUCACUGAUUCCUCCUUCCUGAUGAGCCGUAAUGCCAUUAAUUUGGUGUUGCGCGGAAUCUGGACUGUUCCUUUGAAAAAAUUAGAGUGUUUAAAUCAGGCUAACGCUUGAAUACAUUAGCAUGAACUAAUGAAAUAGGACGUUCGCUCUUAUUUUGUUGGUUUCUAAGAUUGACGUAAUGAUUAAUAGGGAUAGUUGGGGGCAUUAGUAUUCAAUUGUCAGAGGUGAAAUUCUUGGAUUUAUUGAAGACUAACUACUGCGAAAGCAUUUGCCAAGGAUGUUUUCAUUAAUCAAGAACGAAAGUUAGGGGAUCGAAGACGAUCAGAUACCGUCGUAGUCUUAACCAUAAACUAUGCCGACUAGGGAUCGGAUGAUGUUAAUUUUAUAAUGACGCAUUCGGCGCCUUACG
rnacentral:rRNA from 1 species